rnacentral:rRNA from 1 species
AGAGUUUGAUCCUGGCUCAGGAUGAACGCCGGCGGUGUGCCUAAUACAUGCAAGUCGUACGCACUGGCCCAACUGAUUAAUGGUGCUUGCACCUGAUUGACGAUGGAUCACCAGUGAGUGGCGGACGGGUGAGUAACACGUAGGUAACCUGCCCCGGAGCGGGGGAUAACAUUUGGAAACAGAUGCUAAUACCGCAUAACAACAAAAGCCACAUGGCUUUUGUUUGAAAGAUGGCUUUGGCUAUCACUCUGGGAUGGACCUGCGGUGCAUUAGCUAGUUGGUAAGGUAACGGCUUACCAAGGCGAUGAUGCAUAGCCGAGUUGAGAGACUGAUCGGCCACAAUGGAACUGAGACACGGUCCAUACUCCUACGGGAGGCAGCAGUAGGGAAUCUUCCACAAUGGGCGCAAGCCUGAUGGAGCAACACCGCGUGAGUGAAGAAGGGUUUCGGCUCGUAAAGCUCUGUUGUUGGAGAAGAACGUGCGUGAGAGUAACUGUUCACGCAGUGACGGUAUCCAACCAGAAAGUCACGGCUAACUACGUGCCAGCAGCCGCGGUAAUACGUAGGUGGCAAGCGUUAUCCGGAUUUAUUGGGCGUAAAGCGAGCGCAGGCGGUUGCUUAGGUCUGAUGUGAAAGCCUUCGGCUUAACCGAAGAAGUGCAUCGGAAACCGGGCGACUUGAGUGCAGAAGAGGACAGUGGAACUCCAUGUGUAGCGGUGGAAUGCGUAGAUAUAUGGAAGAACACCAGUGGCGAAGGCGGCUGUCUGGUCUGCAACUGACGCUGAGGCUCGAAAGCAUGGGUAGCGAACAGGAUUAGAUACCCUGGUAGUCCAUGCCGUAAACGAUGAGUGCUAGGUGUUGGAGGGUUUCCGCCCUUCAGUGCCGGAGCU